GAUUAAGAGCUUGCUCUUAUGAAGUUAGCGGCGGACGGGUGAGUAACACGUGGGUAACCUGCCCAUAAGACUGGGAUAACUCCGGGAAACCGGGGCUAAUACCGGAUAACAUUUUGAACUGCAUGGUUCGAAAUUGAAAGGCGGCUUCGGCUGUCACUUAUGGAUGGACCCGCGUCGCAUUAGCUAGUUGGUGAGGUAACGGCUCACCAAGGCAACGAUGCGUAGCCGACCUGAGAGGGUGAUCGGCCACACUGGGACUGAGACACGGCCCAGACUCCUACGGGAGGCAGCAGUAGGGAAUCUUCCGCAAUGGACGAAAGUCUGACGGAGCAACGCCGCGUGAGUGAUGAAGGCUUUCGGGUCGUAAAACUCUGUUGUUAGGGAAGAACAAGUGCUAGUUGAAUAAGCUGGCACCUUGACGGUACCUAACCAGAAAGCCACGGCUAACUACGUGCCAGCAGCCGCGGUAAUACGUAGGUGGCAAGCGUUAUCCGGAAUUAUUGGGCGUAAAGCGCGCGCAGGUGGUUUCUUAAGUCUGAUGUGAAAGCCCACGGCUCAACCGUGGAGGGUCAUUGGAAACUGGGAGACUUGAGUGCAGAAGAGGAAAGUGGAAUUCCAUGUGUAGCGGUGAAAUGCGUAGAGAUAUGGAGGAACACCAGUGGCGAAGGCGACUUUCUGGUCUGUAACUGACACUGAGGCGCGAAAGCGUGGGGAGCAA
rnacentral:rRNA from 1 species